UACGAAGGUGGCAAGCGUUGUUCGGAUUUACUGGGCGUACAGGGAGCGUAGGCGGUUCGGUAAGCCCUCUGUGAAAUCUCCAGGCUUAACCUGGAACAGUCGGAGGGGACUGCUGGGCUAGAGGACGGGAGAGGAGCGCGGAAUUCCCGGUGUAGCGGUGAAAUGCGCAGAUAUCGGGAAGAACACCCGUGGCGAAGGCGGUUCUCUGGGACGGUACUGACGCUGAGACGCGAAAGCGUGGGGAGCGAACAGG
rnacentral:rRNA from 1 species